GACGAACGCUGGCGGCGUGCUUAACACAUGCAAGUCGAACGAUGAAGCCGGAGCUUGCUCUGGUGAAUUAGUGGCGAACGGGUGAGUAACACGUGAGUAACCUGCCCUUGACUCUGGGAUAACUGCUAGAAAUGGUAGCUAAUACCGGAUACGACCCUCGGCGGCAUCGCCAGGGGGUGGAAAGAAUUUCGGUCAAGGAUGGACUCGCGGCCUAUCAGCUAGUUGGUGAGGUAACGGCUCACCAAGGCGACGACGGGUAGCCGGCCUGAGAGGGUGCCCGGCGACCCUGGGACUAAGACACGGCCCAGACUCCUACGGGAGGCAGCAGUGGGGAAUAUUGCACAAUGGGCGCAAGCCUGAUGCAGCAACGCCGCGUGAGGGAUGACGGCCUUCGGGUUGUAAACCUCUUUUAGUAGGGAAGAAGCGAAAGUGACGGUACCUGCAGAAAAAGCACCGGCUAACUACGUGCCAGCCGCCGCCGUAA
rnacentral:rRNA from 1 species